ACUAAGUCAAGGAGAUGAGCUUGCGUUGAAUCCAAGGAAAUCAGGCUUCCUUUUAUGAACAUAGACUUUUGCUAAUUUAAAUUACUUGUGUAAAUGAUAUCGUGUAGUAUGUUUCGGAAUCAAACAGCUAAAAUUCUUGUGUUCCACCGCCUACGAAAAAUGCUAAAUACGUCACCGGUUGUUACACGUCGUGAUAUUUUGUACAAUA